UACGAAGGGGGCUAGCGUUGCUCGGAAUCACUGGGCGUAAAGCGCACGUAGGCGGAUCUUUAAGUCAGGGGUGAAAUCCCAAGGCUCAACCUUGGAACUGCCUUUGAUACUGGGGAUCUCGAGUCCGGAAGAGGUGAGUGGAACUGCGAGUGUAGAGGUGAAAUUCGUAGAUAUUCGCAAGAACACCAGUGGCGAAGGCGGCUCACUGGUCCGGUACUGACGCUGAGGUGCGAAAGCGUGGGGAGC
rnacentral:rRNA from 1 species